GUUUAUUAUUAUUUGGAACAAAUGUUUUUCAAAUUUUUCAUUUUAUUUUAAAUAUUUUAAACUUUUUUAAAAUCGACAUACAACCAUGCUUCCGUUAACGAAUUGUAUCUGCUCGUUAGUUUCCGCUGGGGUUAACUAAGGAUUAGGUGUUUAGUCGCUGCUGCCAAGUGAAAAUAUUAAAUUAGUGAAUUAAUAUUGAAAUAAAUUAUUUACUUUUGUUUUGAAAUGAACCAGAAAUCAUUAGUUUUUAGAAAUAUAUUAAAUGUUGAAAGUUCGCAGUCUUUAUUUGUUUAUAUUUCGCAAGUUAAAAGUGCAUGCGCCUUCAAUUGCUCUUGUGCGCACAUACAUACGCGUUUAGCCAGCGAGAGCAACGCGUUGUAAUGACGGAGAGAAAAAAGAGUGUGCAAUAAGAGAAUGUAAGCGCACCGGGCAAACGCAGUAGCAUUUGAAAAUUAAGAGUAAAUUCGUUGUUCGAAAAUUCGUGCAAAUUGGAAUGAUUAGCGAAGUAACGUGAAAAUGUAAGCAACAGUUAAUUAGUGAAGAAAAUUUGCAAAAGUUUUAGCGGUGGCGUUGCAGUGACAUUUUUUGCUGAAUUUUCAAUAUUAAAUUGUUAGCAUUUUAUGAAAAGUGUGUAAAAAGUGUUGUGCAAAGUGGACGUUUGCUUAAUUGCAAGGAAUUAGUUUGAUUUAAAUGAAAUACACCAAAUAAUACAAGUAGAAAGUUAAGUGCGUGCAAAGCAGGUGUCGUCGUAAGUUGGUCGGUCAGUGUGUUUUCGCAAAAAGUGUGCGGUGCGAAGUCGCGGUGUUAAUUUAAUAUUGGAAGUUGUUGAAAAUGGUAAUUUUUAAUAAUAUGUGUUAAUAUUUCUAUUAGCUUAAUAAUAUUUGCUAAUGUGUAAAGUUCAUAGAAAAUUAGCGCGUAGUAAAAUUUUACAAUUUUCUUCUACAACAAUAACGCAAACAACUGUCGUGUUGCACGAAGAAGUACGAGCACCUGCUGUUGUUAUAUGAGUGUAAUAUGUGAAUAAGUAUGUGUGUAUAAAACAAAAGUGAUGUCCUAAUAUUAUGGCUUUGAGCUAUUUACAUAUGUAUAUAUAUAAAGGGUGUUUGAAAAAGUGUUCAAAAGUGAAAAGUGAUGUAUAGUUUUCUUAGAAUAUGGGUAAUGCAUAUCUUUUGAAAUUGAAUGAACAUAAUUUAAAUUAUUUUUAAAUAAGUGAGAAAGUGUUUAAUAGUGAAAAGUGUUAUUUAAUUUUAAUCACUGAUAAGAGUUACCGACGGAAGAAAUAAUACUGCCGCUCAUACUUCUUAAGACUGCUCAUCCAAUGCCUUAAUUUUUUCUAUAUAAACAUUUUUUUGAUGACUUCGUUGCUCAAACCGGUGA